rnacentral:rRNA from 1 species
UACGAAGGGGGCUAGCGUUGUUCGGAAUUACUGGGCGUAAAGCGCACGUAGGCGGAUAUUUAAGUCAGGGGUGAAAUCCCAGAGCUCAACUCUGGAACUGCCUUUGAUACUGGGUAUCUUGAGUAUGGAAGAGGUGAGUGGAAUUCCGAGUGUAGAGGUGAAAUUCGUAGAUAUUCGGAGGAACACCAGUGGCGAAGGCAGCUUGCUGGGACGGUACUGACGCUGAGGCGCGAAAGCCAGGGGAGCAAAACGGG